CGAUGAUGGUGCUGUAGUUGUGAUAACCGAAGCAGAUCUAGAUGGAUAUGAUCAUAGCCGUGACUCUAGGGUGGAUGGAUCUGAGAUCUGGGCUGAUUUGAAUUUGAUUUACAGGGUUCGAGUUGCCGGUGGAGCAGCCUUAGCAAGACUCUCCUGUAUGUGGUUUCAUUGUCACACGGACCAGAACAUUCCGCGUCAGAAGCUGACCGCAGAGAGCAAGCAGCCGGUGGGGCAGCCUUAGCAAGGCUCUCCUGUAUGUGGUUUCAUUGUCACACGGACCAGAACAUUCCGCGUCAGAAGCUGACCGCAGAGAGCAAGCAGCUGGGAAGUUUUACUGUAGAUAUACAUGUGUUUUCUUAAGUUUAAAUUUGUACAUAUUUUUCCAGUAUAAAAAUGUUACAAGGAGCCUACUGUUAAGCUUUCUUUACCAAUGGAAACCUUGACUUUCUCAAUGUAAAUACAAUAUAGUACUUCUCAAGUUGAUAAUGAGAAGUCUGAGUAUAUAUAUGUAUAUAUAGCUGUAUCCAGAACCUGAACUUUCAAUGAAGGACUUGAGUGCUUCCUUUUGGUGGUGGUGCCAUCAACCAAAUAUGGGGCAACAUACUGUUGCAUUUCUUGAAUGGCCAUUCCAAGAUGAUAUCCUUGUAACCAUUUAAAAAAGAAGAAGAAAAUGAUAUC
rnacentral:lncRNA from 1 species